UAAGCAUAGAGCAUAAGGCUGCAGAAGA
rnacentral:piRNA from 1 species